GGUGGGGUGGGCUUUAAGGUCCCAUCCAACCCAAUCCAUUCCAUGAUUCCAUUAUUCGAAUUCAAUCAUCCUGCUCUCAGGCGUUGCUCGCAGCCUGUUAAGCUGAGGUCCCUAUAAGGAGAUGCAGGUCAGGAAUUUGGAGUUCAGUAGCUCUCCCAGCUCAUUUUGUCUCAUUUGUAAUUGUGUUUGGAUUCAGACUUCCAAGCUGCCCAUCAGACCUGUCACCUCUGGACACCUCUUUUUGUGCCAGCAGGGAGAGGCCGCCAUCCUUGGCACCCUGUUGUCCCAGUAUCCUCUGCACUGGGAUCAUCCUCUGGAAGGAGAUGGCUGCACCACAGAGGGAAUGCCAGGAGAACUCGGAACUUGUGGCUGAUGCUCUGGACCUGAGCAGCUUUGGUGCCUGGGAUGUUCCUCUGUGCCAUGAUCUGGAUACAAAUGCCUGGGCAGCUGCAUGGAAAAGGCUGAAUAAUCUCUGGGAAUUCAGAGCCUCACAGCCCGGGUAGAGAUGGAGACUCCUCUCUCAUGAAGAGCCUGCCAUGAGGGGAAAAAAUACAGGAAUGUGGCAUUUCACCAAGGAUCACAAUCCUGCUCCUUCAGCCAAGCACAAGGAAGGAAAGCAACAGAAAGCAAAUUACUUUGGAGCACCAGAAUCCCUCUGUGGUUCCAACCUCUCCCAUCCUGAGGGGUUUUUAAUAUUUAUUAGUCCACAAAGCAGUGGCUGCAGCAGAGCCUGCAGGGCCUGCCCUUGCCCUGAGGAGAGGAGUGGGGAUGGAGAGUGGGAAGGAAGACGGAUGGAUCCAGAAUUGCCUCCAAUUUAUGGGGCUCUGUGAUUCCUGACGCCGUACGUCUCAGAGAAAUGACACCACUACUUCAGGAGCAGAGAUUAAUCUGAGCCAGCAGGAGAAGGACAAAACAAAUCAUCCACUGCAGGAAUCUCAUUCGAGGCCUGUUGGGAAGAGCCCUGGGAUGAACGGCUUCUGUAAAGACCACACCAGCACCAGCAGAUUUUCCCCCUUCUCUCUCUUUUCCUGCAAGUUGAGGUCUGUAAGGUGUGGAGGCAAUCCUGGAGUGCUUUUGGUUGUGCAGGAGUCAUUGCUCCACACAAAACACCUGGGAGCUGCAGGGGUGGGAAAGGUUGGGGCUGGGUGAAAUUCAGAGUUGGGGGAGGAGAGCAUGGAGAGCUGGAAGAUGAAAAUCCACAGUCAUCUGUGGAUCACAGCCCUGAGUUCAGCUGUAGGCCAGGGACAAGGAUCAGCUUGGGAAGAAGGGGUUGGCAUCCUCUGGAAUUACAAAAAACUCUGGAGGAGGUGGGUGCACAUCCUGUACCACCAUGGCCGGGAGACCGGGGGGUCACAGCCAGCCAUCCAGCCAUCGGAAUUGGGAAUUGUAGGACCAGCUGCUGCCCCUUCAUCACCACAGCACCACCUGAGACAGCUCCUACUCCCUCAGAUUUGGGUGCUGAGACUCUCCUGGAAGGGCUCAGCUGGGCAUCAUCCCUAUCCAACCACAGAAAAGCCCAUCUUUUAGGAGAAAAAAGCACAAAUCCUAGAACAGGGAGAAGUGAGCAGGGUGAUGGCAGCCUGCAAACCCAGCUGGGGACCUGCAGCAAGCCCUGCAGCCUUUCCUUUCCCUUACUCCAUCAGAUCCAGCCCAGUGCCACUGCAAACAGCCCUCAUCCUUCCCAAGGAGUCCAGCAGGUCUGGAGCAAUACCAGCACAAUUCCAGCUGUAUCUCAGAUUGAUACAGAAUCGAUUGGAUUGAUUUUUUUUUUUAAGGUGCAGCCUCGGAAUAGCUGAGAGUGGAAGGUGCAGCUCAGCUUGUACUUCCCCAAAACAAUUUGUCAGGCCCCACUGUAGGAGCCUAAUGACGGCUGUAAUUUAUGGCUGACACACCAUAUUUAUCACCUCAGCAUCCUCUCCUCUUCCUUCUCUCCCUCUGCCUCGUUAGGGAUGGCAUCAAUAAUGUUUAUUGUAGCUUUUAAUUUUUUAUCAUUGCUAUUCUUACCUGUGCUGCUGGAGAUGAAGAAAGGCAUUAGAGCAGGCAGAGCCUUUGAGAUGUGUACCAGGGGAAAUGAUGGAUUUAGGAUUUGGGAACCUCUUCUGGAAUUUCACAUACAGUGAGUGGGGAAAAAUCAGGCCUUCUUCCCAAAAACACAGCCUCCCAUUCCCACUGACUCUGUGGAUGCUCAGAGCUCAGCUCUCUCACAUUGUGGAAUUUCCUCCACAAUCCCCCAAAAUUGUGUUUCUGGCCCUACCCUCGUGCCAGGCAGCUCCCGUGAUCUCCACCAGGCUGGUUUUGCUGCUCGGUUUGCAGACACGCGGCCUUGCCACGGAGACACCUCAGAGUCAGUGGGAUUUCCUUGGUUUUCCUGCCCCGUUUCCCUCUGCCCCUGGCCAGCAGAACUCUCAUUCCUCGGGAGGUGUUUGCAUUUCACAGCCUCUUUUCACACCUGGCAAGUGAUGCCUCGGUUGUGGUGGAUCUGUGUGUGUGUGUGUGUCCGGCAGCUCCUUCUCUGCAGGGAAUUUUUGGCUGGCUCCACUUGAAUAUUCCGGUGUUUGGAGUGGCUGACACAUUCCUCAUGAGGAAUGAAGGAUUUAUCCCAGGUAUUUCAUCCACACCUGAUGCCAAACAGCCCCUGGGUGCCCCAGCUCUGCCCCCACCCCAUUUACAGAGUACGAGGCACCAAGCUGUGUCCCUAAAAACAUCUGAAAUCCAUCCCACCUUGAAUUUUCCCCUUUCCCCCUCCACAUUUUUUUCCCAUUUACCCUUGAGAGAAGAGGUUGCAGUGGGCUUUGAAGCCCCUUAAACUGCCAGAACCAGGUUGGAUGGGCUUGGAGCAACCUGGCAUAAUGGAAGGUGUCCC